rnacentral:rRNA from 1 species
CUCCGAUGAUCCUGCCGGACCCGACUGCUAUCGGAUUGGGAUUUAGCCAUGUUAGUUGUGCGUUCCUUGGCUACAGGGGACGCAGCACACGGCUCAGUAACACGUAGUCAACCUGCCCUGGAGACGUGGACAAACCCGGGAAACUGGGGACUAUCCGCGAUAGAUGACCUCGUCUGGAAGGAGUGAUCGUCCAAAGGGCGGCACGGGUAUGCACUGUGCCUUUCGCCCCAAGAUGGGACUGCGGCCGAUCAGGCUGUUGGGGGAGUAAUGGCCCACCAUACCUGUAACCGGUACGGGCUUUGAGAGAAGGAGCCCGGAGAUGGACACUGAGACAAGGGUCCAGGCCCUACGGGGCGCAUCAGGCGCGAAAACUUCGCAAUGCGCGAAAGCGUGACGAGGUUAGUCCGAGUGCUUCCUGAUAAAGGGAGCUUUUCUCGGCUGUAAAUAGGCCGGGGAAUAAGGGGAGGGCAAGUCUGGUGUCAGCCGCCGCGGUAAUACCAGCUCCUCGAGUGGUCGGGACGAUUAUUGGGCCUAAAGCACCCGUAGCCGGUUCUGUAAGUCCUCUGUUAAAUCCAGUCGCUCAACGGCUGGGCCGCAGAGGAUACUGCAAGACUAGGAGGCGGGAGAGGCGGACGGUACUCCGCGAGUAGGGGUAAAAUCCUUUGAUCCGCGGAAGACCACCAGUGGCGAAGGCGGUCCGCCAGAACGCGCUCGACGGUGAGGGGUGAAAGCUGGGGGAGCGAACCGGAUUAGAUACCCGGGUAGUCCCAGCCGUAAACGAUGCGAGCUAGAUGAUUCGUUGGCAGUUCGCGAACGCAGUGUCGCAGGGAAGCCGUUAAGCUCGCCGCCUGGGGAGUACGGUCGCAAGUCUGAAACUUAAAGGAAUUGGCGGGGGAGCA